CCCUUAGAUGUUCUGGGCCGCACGCGCGCUACACUGAUGCAUUCAACGAGUUUCUUCCUGGUCCGAGAGGAAUGGGUAACCUUUUGAAAGUGCAUCGUGAUAGGGAUAGACUAUUGCAAUUAUUAAUCUUCAACGAGGAAUGCCUAGUAAGCGCAAGUCAUCAGCUUGCGUUGAUUACGUCCCUGCCCUUUGUACACACCGCCCGUCGCUCCUACCGAUUGAAUGGUCCGGUGAAGCGUUCGGACCGUGGCCUUUGGACGGUUCGCCGUCUGUUGGCUGCGGGAAGUUCGUUAAACCUUAUCAUUUAGAGGAAGGAGAAGUCGUAACA
rnacentral:rRNA from 1 species